GUCCUAGCCAUAAACGAUGUAGACCAGAUAUGGGGGGUAUCGACCCCCUCCGUGUCGACGCUAACGCAUUAAGUCUACCGCCUGGGGAGUACGGCCGCAAGGUUGAAACUCAAAAGGAAUUGACGGGGACCCGCACAAGCGGUGGAGUAUGUGGUUUAAUUCGACGCAACGCGAAAAACCUUACCUAGGCUCGAACGACUAGAAGUAGAAUUCAUGAAAGUGGAGACGACCUGUAAAGUCAGGAGCUAGCCGAGGUGCUGCAUGGUUGUCGU
rnacentral:rRNA from 1 species